rnacentral:rRNA from 1 species
AACGAACGCUGGCGGCGCGUUUUAAACAUGCAAGUCGAACGGCAAGGGGCACUUGUGCCCCCUAGAGUGGCGAACGGGUGAGUAACACGUAGAUAAUCUACCCUACAGUUUGGGAUAGUCCAUGGAAACAUGGGGUAAUACCGGAUGUGACUGGUUUUUCAUAAGAGAAGCCAAGGAAAGGCGCUAAGGCGCCGCUGUGGGAUGAGUCUGCGCUCCAUUAGCUAGUUGGUGGGGUAAUGGCCUACCAAGGCUGCGAUGGAUAGCCGGCCUGAGAGGGUGAUCGGCCACAUUGGGACUGAGACACGGCCCAGACUCCUACGGGAGGCAGCAGUUAAGAAUCUUCCGCAAUGGACGCAAGUCUGACGGAGCGACGCCGCGUGAACGAUGAAGGCCGUGAGGUUGUAAAGUUCUUUUCUGGGGGAGGAAUAAUGAUGGCAGGGAAUGGUCAUCANAUGACGUUAACCCAGGAAUAAGCCCCGGCUAACUACGUGCCAGCAGCCGCGGUAACACGUAGGGGGCGAGCGUUGUUCGGAAUUAUUGGGCCGUAAAGG